rnacentral:lncRNA from 1 species
CUGCUAGGAGGAGGAGAAACAAGUGUGAUGCAGUCACAUUGACUGAGGGUUGAAUCCUAAGACACCUGUUCAGCAGCUGUGUGGGCUCAGAAAAUAGGAACAGCACCCUCCUCCAGUUGUGGGGAUCCAAGGGUCUCAUUAAUUUGCCUGGCCUGGGCUGGAGCUUGCAGUCCUCCUGUCUCACCUUCCUAAGUGCCUGGGAUUAUAGAUGUGCAUCAUCACACCUGGCUCACAAUGAUUUUCAAAG